AACGAACGCUGGCGGCAGGCUUAACACAUGCAAGUCGAGCGCCCCGCAAGGGGAGCGGCAGACGGGUGAGUAACGCGUGGGAACCUACCCUUUUCUACGGAAUAACGCAUGGAAACGUGUGCUAAUACCGUAUACGCCCUACGGGGGAAAGAUUUAUCGGAGAAGGCAGGGCCAGCGUUGGAUUAGCUAGUUGGUGGGGUAAAGGCCUACCAAGGCGACGAUCCAUAGCUGGUCUGAGAGGAUGAUCAGCCACAUUGGGACUGAGGCACGGCCCAAACUCCUACGGGAGGCAGCAGUGGGGAAUAUUGGACAAUGGGCGCAAGCCUGAUCCAGCCAUGCCGCGUGAGUGAUGAAGGCCCUAGGGUUGUAAAGCUCUUUCACCGGAGAAGAUAAUGACGGUAUCCGGAGAAGAAGCCCCGGCUAACUUCGUGCCAGCCGCCGCAGUAA
rnacentral:rRNA from 1 species